rnacentral:lncRNA from 1 species
UUGAGGGGGAACUUUAGAUAUUCAGUAUCUUAUCCUAAAGUUACUUUAAUUUGAUGCAUACCUAGAAUUUUAUGGAUUGAUUUUGAUGAACCUCCUUAUAUUGCAAGACUUGCUUUAAUUAUAUAAUAAGUUUAUACUUUGAGAUGAGUUCUAUAAAGACUGUCUUAUCUCAAACCUUGAGUCUUAUGAAAAUAAGCUGAAACUUAUAGAAAAUAUAUUUUCGAGAUUGAUAAUUUUAUUGAACAUUAUCUUCAAAUUCUAAACUCUUAAAUGGAAUGAUCAAUUGAGGGGGAGAAAGAAAAUUUCAGAAGAAGAAAUUUUAUGGAACUUAAUCGCAUAAAUCUAUAACUAAAGGAGAGAGAAAGAAUUUAUGAUACACCUUGAGGCUUGUUAUUUGGUUAAUAUAUCUUAUGCAUAAAUUAUGAACCAAAUUGCAAUUCAAACAGUUGAUCUUAAGAGCCUCUAACUUAAUGAAAAAGGGAGAGAAUAAUGUGUUGAAUCCAUAUUUUGGUAUUUGUGCCCCAAUGCUCUUAUUAUCAUAAAAGAACUUUGAAGUCAUUAAGAAUUAAUGAUCCA